rnacentral:sRNA from 1 species
UAAUCUUUUGUUUUGUCUUUGUUGAUUUUAGAUUAAGAGAACAAAUCAAGGUCAAUAGUUCUAUUGCUGCUAAAAGAUUAAGGUCACAUUUGAUCCAGUUUUUAAGUGCUGCUAUUUCCCAGACACAGUCCAAAGAUUUAUGUUUUUCCUGCUGAAGAUGAUGAAUGAGGCAGCAGACAUCUUGAAAGGAGCUGAUUUCGAGUUCCUUCAACAGUCUUUUCAUUUUAUUUAGGAAGAAGCUCAUCAGUCACUUCAAACCAGGUGAUGAUGGAGUCAUAAACAGUAGGAUACAGAGGUGGAACAAAACUGGAGCUUUAGUUUGUUUGUUUGUAGAACUUGGCAUCUACUCCAGACAUUAUUCUGAAGAACACUCAAG